rnacentral:lncRNA from 1 species
UCUUUACUCAAUUUGACUGGUCCAAGCACCCAUUGUUUCCAAGUUACUGAAACCAAGGGUUUGAAGAAUACCUAAAUAUGAAUUAAGUUUUUUCUUUGGGAAGAACUGUAUCUCUAGAAAGGGCAGCUUCAUCGACCAUCAUAUAUAUAAUUCUACGAACAAAUUCUCCCAGAUACAUGUCAUAAAUCAUUUUCUAAGAGUCUUUAACAAAUUCUCCCAGAUACAUGCUUAGAUAAAAUAAGAGAAUCAACUCUUCUGCUGUCAACAAAUAAGAUAUAUUACUUUGAUUCAAAAUUAACGAAUUUGAAAUAACCCCUAUCUUAUGAUCCCCUUCAAAACCCAGCCUGCAACGUGGUUCUUGACCACUUUGUGUCAGAUCUUGGCGUAGGUCUUUUUUAGGUCCAAGCCUACUAACUGAUUUCACAUUAGUUUCUUUAUGUUUAUUAAUAAAAAGAGGACAACAAAGUUGUGUAAGGGUCAACUAUAAAUCAAAUUAUAGAAAUCUAUCAGUUAAUAUACACUUUUUUAAUCAGCAGUAUGACCUUCUUGUAUCUAAGAAAUCUAUCAUGCCCAAAUCCAUCUUGA